rnacentral:tmRNA from 1 species
GGGGGUGAACGGUUUCGACUCUGGACGUUGAGUCAAGGGAAGCGUGCCGGUGCAGGCGAGAGACCACCGUAAGCGUCGCCGCAACCAAUUAAGCGCCAAGACUAAUAGUCAGCGCGACUUCGCCCUCGCCGCCUGAGCGAGUGCGAGUCUGUCGGCCCGGGAGAGCCUCCGUCCCGGUAGCCGGCAUCAGCUAGGAGGCUCACUGUCCGGACCCGGCCGCGGGGUCCGGACGGGACACCCACAGCGGCUGGGCCCGUCACACCGGCUUGUUCGCGUGACCGGUGGGGCCGAGUAGAGGCACAGCGAACUGCGCACGGAGAAGCCUAGGCAAGGCGCCAGAGGACCCGGGUUCAAUUCCCGGCACCUCCACUC